rnacentral:tRNA from 3 species
UACUUAGCUCAGCUGGUUAGAGCACAUCACUCAUAAUGAUGGGGUCACAGGUUCAAAUCCCGUAGUAGCC